rnacentral:rRNA from 1 species
CACGUAGGGCGCAAGCGUUGUCCGGAAUUAUUGGGCGUAAAGAGCUCGUAGGCGGUCCGUCACGUCCGCUGUGAAAACCCAGGGCUCAACCCUGGGCUUGCAGUGGAUACGGGCAGACUAGAGGUAGGUAGGGGAGAAUGGAAUUCCCGGUGUAGCGGUGAAAUGCGCAGAUAUCGGGAGGAACACCGGUGGCGAAGGCGGUUCUCUGGGCCUUACCUGACGCUGAGGAGCGAAAGCCAGGGGAGCAAACGGG